AUAGCAAAUUUUUGGGAUCUGUUCAAUGGUUUUAAAUGAUUGUGAAACUACCAAGAAACCCUACGAAAUUCCAAAAAUAGCCUCAUUGCUUUAAUACCAUCACUCUCCAACCAACCUCGCCGUACUUAUCUCAGUGACGGCGGCGGCAAUUACUCGACCCGCCGCAUCUCAAACCACCAGUACCUCCGAUUCACAGGCUCAGAUCGGGUCUCCACCGACAUGAAUCGGAGGAAGAUGUUUGGGGGGCAAGGGGAGAGGUAGGUCAGUCUCCUUCUCUUUACCAACCAACCUCGCCGUACUUAUCUCUGUGACGGCGGCGGCAACCAUCUCAAACUACCUCCGAUUCGCAGGCUCAGAUCGAAAUCGAAGGGGAUUGGGGGGAAAGAGAAGGGGUGGGUGAGAAAGGGAGAGGUAGGAAACACUGGAACUGGAACCUGAGGGGAUACAGGAAAUCCUUGGCCGCGUAAUUGCAAUGGCCAAGGAGUUUGAUAAAAGUGGUGCCUCUGCCUCAGAGGUUAUUGGAACAAAUCAUUUUAAGGAAGGCUUGAGCAUGGACGCCCUGGACCUUAUGGAUGUUGAAAAGGAGUUUGGGGUUGAAAUUCCUCAUGAGCAGUUUGUUAACCUGACUUGUUGGGCUGACGUGGCCAAGUACAUUGUCUCCGAAGCUGCUAAGAGAAAUGUGGAAAAGCCCUGAGUGGAGAGAUGAAUUUUCUUGACUUGCUAUGAUUGCAGUAAAACUUGGUAUUGAAGUGAUCCAAGUGAACGCUAAAGAUGAGCGCAUGCAAUGCACUUUUGCAGAGUCUUCUUAAUUCUGAAUAUUCUGGGAAUAUGAUGAAACUAGUUUCUGUUUGAACUUAGAAUAACUACGAGCUCUCUUAUGAUCAUUCAUUCAUGUGUGCAUCACCUGUUUAAAUCUACUUCUACUUAUCUAAUUUUGGAGAUAAUAGAAGCACUAUAUAAAACUAUUCAUGGUCCUGCUAAUUUUACUUGCAUGCUUUUGAGAAUGGUUA